GUAAUUUUAUGAGGUUAACUUACCAUCCCUAGGCUGCUUAUAUCAGUCUUCAAAAUUUUGAUCUAUUUGAAUUAUUGUCCUCAGUUUAACAAUGAAACUUUUUUUUAUUAUUGUUUUCCUCUUUAAUUUCUGUUGUACUCAUAAGAACACUGAGAAAUCAUCAACAGAAUCUAUUGGUGGUGGUAGCGAUAAUAAUAAUUUUUAAACUGAAAUUAUUAAAUAUUGUUAUACCUUUCACUGCUUGCUUCAUAAACAGUCAGUCUCUUGAGGGCCUGUUCAUUAAAACUGAUCUAAGUUCUGCCACUUUAUAUUCUGCAUCAGCAGAAAUUAGACCUGUGGCAUGUUGAAAGAAACUAUUUUCAUUUACUUACUGAAUUUUAAUUGCAAAACACGUGAAAAGUAUGAUUUUAAGUUUCAGUGAGAAGCGUGAGUGUCUUGCGUAUGUUUUCUUUUUGUUGUUGUUUUAUCUCCAUUUGCCCCUAUCAGUAUGCUCACGGGUUUCCUGUAUGUACAUCAAUUUCCUUUUACCUGUGUGAUGUUAGUGACUAUUAAGUCUUGGGUGAUGAGGUUGCUUGCUGUUUGCUUGCCCAAGCUCACUGCUCUGGACACACUACCUGAGGUUCAUGUUGUCUCAACACUUAGGCUCUAAUUCCAAGCUCCACUCUGCCCAUGGCACCUGCGUGUGUCUGUGGGGCCUGGCUGUGCUCCACAGUGGGGCCUCUGGAAGCAGUUUCACCCAGCAGCAGAGCAGGCCCUGCCACCAGCUGAGCACACCUCAAGCUGCUGCAACAGUGGUCCAGAGUUGGUUGUUUUUUAAUGUUCUGCAUCUUUGAGAAGGUGAGACUUAAUUUUUGUGUUUGUUCUGUGUCACUUAAGUUUAUUAUAUACUACCACUUGCAAGGUCGUCUUGUCCCAUUUCUGGCCCCAGAACAGUAAAACACUUCAACAGUCUUUGUCUGUAGUCGACUACGUACUCCUAUUGUCUCUGAUAUUAUUUUGUUGCCUUCCUGUGAAAAAGUAUCUACUUCCUGGAUAAAUAAAAUUUGGUUUAUUUGGCA
rnacentral:lncRNA from 1 species